UCCGGACGAACGCUGGCGGCGUGCUUAACACAUGGCAAGUCGAACGAUGAAGGGGAGCUUGCUCCCUGGAUUAGUGGCGAACGGGUGAGUAACACGUGAGCAACCUGCCCCUAACUCUGGGAUAACGCUUCGAAAGGAGUGCUAAUACCGGAUAUGAGCCUGGAAGACAUCUUCUGGGUUGGAAAGUUUUCGGUUAGGGAUGGGCAUGCGUCCAAUUAGCUAGUUGGUGAGGUAACGGCUCACCAAGGCAAUGAUUGGUAGGGGAACUGAGAGGUCAAUCCCCCACACUGGCACUGAGAUACGGGCCAGACUCCUACGGGAGGCAGCAGUAGGGAAUAUUGGGCAAUGGACGCAAGUCUGACCCAGCCAUGCCGCGUGCAGGAUGAAGGCGUUAUGCGUUGUAAACUGCUUUUAUACAGGAAGAAACGACUCUUGCGAGAGGCAUUGACGGUACUGUAUGAAUAAGCACCGGCUAACUCCGUG
rnacentral:rRNA from 1 species